GGAAUAUUGGACAAUGGGGGAAACCCUGAUCCAGCAAUGCCGCGUGAGUGAUGAAGGCCUUAGGGUUGUAAAGCUCUUUUACCCGGGAUGAUAAUGACAGUACCGGGAGAAUAAGCUCCGGCUAACUUCGUGCCAGCAGCCGCGGUAAUACGAAGGGAGCUAGCGUUGUUCGGAAUCACUGGGCGUAAAGCGCACGUAGGCGGAUUUGUUAGUCAGGGGUGAAAUCCCGGGGCUCAACCUCGGAACUGCCUUUGAUACUGCAAAUCUCGAGUCCGAGAGAGGUGGGUGGAAUUCCUAGUGUAGAGGUGAAAUUCGUAGAUAUUAGGAAGAACACCGGUGGCGAAGGCGGCCCACUGGCUCGGUACUGACGCUGAGGUGCGAAAGCGUGGGGAGCAAAC
rnacentral:rRNA from 1 species